UUGUGGCAAGUAUAAAGAAAGCAAUUGCAGAUGUUGGAUCUGGAAAUGCUGUGGCUUUUGCAACUGGGAAAGUAAAGAUUCUUAGAUACUCUGGAUGAUGGAGUAGACUUCAGUUGUGCAUCAUUUGUAUGUUUGGAUGAGAGGAAGGCUUGGAUUAAGGGUACUAGAUGUAGGUCUUGUUAGGAGAAGAUUGUACUACUUAAUUACCAUGUAUUAAUUGAAUAUUUAUAUUUAAUUGGUAGCAAGUAUGUAUGUCGUAGGAAUAAAGAUUGGUUAAUUUUGUAAUAAUUAUUGAAGUUUCAAGUUUUAUGAAGGAAAUAAUUUUUGAGUGUAUAUUCAUUAAUAAAGCAUUAUAGUUGUUUUUC